CUGCUCGCUUUGGCAGCACCCACACUCAAACUGGAACAACACAGAGAUUAGCAUGGCUGCUGCACAAGGAUGAUACGCAAAUUCAUGAACAAUUCCCUAUUUUU